rnacentral:rRNA from 1 species
AACGAACGCUGGCGGCAUGCCUAACACAUGCAAGUCGAACGAGACGUUCGGGUUUCGUGUCGCACGUGCGCGUACCGCGGGGGAACCUGCCCUUAGGAUCGGAAUGACUCCCCGCACGGAGUUCGAAUAACGGCUAGUGUACUGGGUCCAAAGAUUUAUCGCCCUUGGGUGGGCCGGCGUUGGAUUAGCUCGUUGGUAGGGUAAAAGCCUACCAAGGCGCCGCUGCAGAGCUUGUCUGAGAGGAUGAGCAGCCACACUGGGACUGAGACACGGCCGAGACUCCUACGGGAGGCAGCAGUGGGGAAUAUUGGAGCAUGGGCGAAAGCCUGAGCAAGCAAUGCCGCGUGAGUGAUGAAGGCCUUAGGGUUGUAAAGCUCUUUUACCCGGGAGGAUAAUGACAGUACCGGGAGAAUAAGCACCGGCUAACUACGUG